AGCGAACGCUGGCGGCACGCCUAACACAUGCAAGUCGAGCGCAGUCCUUCGGGACCGAGCGGCGGACGGGUUAGUAACGCGUGGGAACAUACCCUUCUCUACGGAAUAGCCUCGGGAAACUGAGAGUAAUACCGUAUAAGCCCUUCGGGGGAAAGAUUUAUCGGUGAAGGAUUGGCCCGCGUAAGAUUAGAUAGUUGGUGGGGUAAUGGCCUACCAAGUCUACGAUCUUUAGCUGGUUUGAGAGGAUGAUCAGCAACACUGGGACUGAGACACGGCCCAGACUCCUACGGGAGGCAGCAGUGGGGAAUCUUAGACAAUGGGGGAAACCCUGAUCUAGCGAUGCCGCGUGUGUGACGAAGGCCUUAGGGUCGUAAAGCACUUUCGCCAAGGAUGAUAAUGACAGUACUUGGUAAAGAAACCCCGGCUAACUCCGUGCCAGCAGCCGCGGUAAUACGGAGGGGGUUAGCGUUGUUCGGAAUUACUGGGCGUAAAGCGCACGUAGGCGGACUUUUAAGUUAGAGGUGAAAUCCCAGGGCUCAACCCUGGAACUGCCUUUAAUACUGGAAGUCUUGAGUUCGAGAGAGGUAAGUGGAAUUCCAAGUGUAGAGGUAAAAUUCGUA
rnacentral:rRNA from 1 species